rnacentral:rRNA from 1 species
UACGGGGGGGGGGCAAGCGUUUGUUCGGAAUUACUGGGCGUAAAGGGUGCGUAGGCGGCUUUCUAAGUUGGAUGUGAAAACUCUGGGCUCAACCCAGAGCCUGCAUCCAAAACUGCAUAGCUUGAGUACAGAAGAGGAAAGUGGAAUUCCACGUGUAGCGGUGAAAUGCGUAGAGAUGUGGAGGAACACCAGUGGCGAAGGCGACUUUCUGGGCUGUAACUGACGCUGAGACGCGAAAGCGUGGGUAGCAAACAGG